rnacentral:rRNA from 1 species
CCUACGGGAGGCAGCAGUGAGGAAUAUUGGUCAAUGGGCGGGAGCCUGAACCAGCCAAGUCGCGUGAAGGAUGACUGCCCUGCGGGUUGUAAACUUCUUUUAUAAGGGAAUAAAGUGUGGCACGUGUCCCCUUUUGUGUGUACCUUAUGAAUAAGCAUCGGCUAACUCCGUGCCAGCAGCCGCGGUAAUACGGAGGAUGCGAGCGUUAUCCGGAUUUAUUGGGUUUAAAGGGAGCGUAGGUGGGUUGUUAAGUCAGUUGUGAAAGGUUGCGGCUCAACCGUAAAAUUGCAGUUGAUACUGGCAGUCUUGAGUACAGGUGAGGUAGGCGGAAUGCGUGGUGUAGCGGUGAAAUGCUUAGAUAUCACGAAGAACUCCGAUUGCGAAGGCAGCAUACU